GACGAAGGGGGCAAGCGUUACUCGGAAUCACUGGGCGUAAAGCGCACGAAGGCGGCUUCUUAAGUAAGGGGUGAAAUCCUGGGGCUCAACCCCAGAACUGCCCUUGAUACUGAGGAGCUUGAGUCCGGGAGAGGUGAGUGGAACUCCGAGUGUAGAGGUGAAAUUCGUAGAUAUUCGGAAGAACACCAGUGGCGAAGGCGGCUCACUGGCCCGGUACUGACGCUGAGGCGCGAAAGCGUGGGGAGCAAACAGG
rnacentral:rRNA from 1 species